rnacentral:rRNA from 1 species
UACGGGGGGGGCAAGCGUUGUUCGGAAUUACUGGGCGUAAAGGGCUCGUAGGUGGCCAACUAAGUCAGACGUGAAAUCCCUCGGCUUAACCGGGGAACUGCGUCUGAUACUGGAUGGCUUGAGUUCGGGAGAGGGAUGCGGAAUUCCAGGUGUAGCGGUGAAAUGCGUAGAUAUCUGGUGGAACACCGGUGGCGAAGGCGGCAUCCUGGACCGAUACUGACGCUGAGGAGCGAAAGCGUGGGGAGCAAACAGG